CCUACGUGGUGCAGCAGUAGGGAAUUUUCGGCAAUGGGCGAAAGCCUGACCGAGCAACGCCGCGUGAACGAAGAAGGUCUUCGGAUUGUAAAGUUCUGUUAUAGAGGAAGAAUGGUGUACGUAGGAAAUGGCGUACAAAUGACGGUACUCUGUGAGGAAGCCACGGCUAACUACGUGCCAGCAGCCGCGGUAAUACGUAGGUGGCGAGCGUUAUCCGGAUUUAUUGGGUUUAAAGGGUGCGCAGGCGGCCUGUUAAGUCAGCGGUAAAAGCCCGGGGCUCAACCCCGGCGAGCCGUUGAAACUGGCGGGCUGGAGUUGGAGAGAAGUACGCGGAAUGCGCGGUGUAGCGGUGAAAUGCUUAGAUAUCGCGCAGAACCCCGAUUGCGAAGGCAGCGUACCGGCUCCACACUGACGCUGAGGCACGAAAGCGUGGGUAUCGAACAGGAUUAGAUACCCUUGUAGUC
rnacentral:rRNA from 1 species